rnacentral:rRNA from 1 species
ACUCAAAGGAAUUGACGGGGGCCCGCACAAGCGGUGGAGCAUGUGGUUCAAUUCGACGCAACGCGAAGAACCUUACCUGGGCUCGAACGGUCGGUUAACGGUGGUGGAAACACUGCUAUCCCGCAAGGGAGUCCGAUCGAGGUGCUGCAUGGCUGUCGUCAGCUCGUGUCGUGAGAUGUUGGGUUAAGUCCCGCAACGAGCGCAACCCUUGUCCUGUGUUGCUAUUCCGCAAGGAAGGACUCGCAGGAGACCGCCAGCGAUAAGUUGGAGGAAGGUGGGGAUGACGUCAAGUCCUCAUGGCCUUUAUGUCCAGGGCUACACACGUGCUACAAUGGCCGGUACAAAGCGCAGCUAAGUCGCGAGACGGAGCCAAUCGCAAAAAACCGGUCUCAGUUCGGAUUGCAGGCUGCAACUCGCCUGCAUGAAGCUGGAAUCGCUAGUAAUGGCGUAUCAGAACGAUGCCGUGAAUACGUUCCCGGGCCUUGUACACACCGCCCGU